CAAGGAAGUUUGGACGACCAACUUCCAUAACCAGUGUUUUUACAGUGGACAAACUGUUUAGCCUACUGUUUUUUGUCUAUUUUCCUUGACACAUUUUUUUAUAUAAUAUAACACAAUGUCGUGUUAUCAGAGAACAAUUACAAUGUUGACAUUGUAUGUGCGACUUUUGGUCACAGUAGCAGGAUGAUGCAAGAUGUAACGGAUUUCGGAAGUAGUGAAAGUUUUAGGACACAAACGAAUUCUUCAGGUUCAGAGUGAUGCACAGCCAUCAGCGUUUGGACUCACAUUUCACAAAUUUGCCCAGGUGGAGGCGGGGACUGAGUUCCCCCAUCUGACGUUCUUCCUGCUCAUCCACAACAUUGGGCCUCCAGGGGGCACCAACCUGUCCAAGCUGGCCAUCAGGGACUUUGUAUCUGGGAUAGCACCCCUGCAGAGUGGGGGGAUGGUGGUGGAGACAGGCUUCCAGACCUUCACCAUCGACUCACUUCCAGCUGGGUCUCAGUAUGUUGUGGCGUAUACUGCCCUCAUCAAUGGUCACGAGUGAAAUUCUGGACCUUCCUAACGUUCUCCAAUGCCUCACUGAAUGACGUCAAUAUGUUUGGUCCAGUAGUGGCUAAUUUAACACUAAGGGUGAACUCCAUGGACAAGAUUCACCCCAAUCACGGUGUCCACUUUGCUGGGUUUGUUGGGGGAUUCUUCCUAUCCUUGUUGCUGCUGUCCCUAGGAUUUAUGGCCAUGAACCUGAUAUGUGCCAGAGCCAGGAAAACCUCUCUGCAGUGAAGGAAAAAGCAAGGUGAUUCAGAACCUAAGUAUGCAGUGUGCAACAUGAGCGAGACGGCCAAGGAAGAGGCGGCAUUCGAGGACAAGAUGGUGGACAUUAUGGUGCUGGAAGACCCCCAGAACAUGUAUCAAGCUCUGGAGAAGUAUGGCUACACCAGCAGAUAUAUUGCUUUAUUACUUGUCACAAGCGUAUAUGAGCCUUUAUUGUUCUAAUGUCUGCUUUCAACUCAUACUCUCAAACACGUAGAUCCCCUGAACGCAGCUCACUUUCCAGCUCACACUCUCAAACUCAUAGAUCCCCUGAACGCAGCUCACUCUCCAGAUCCCAA